rnacentral:misc_RNA from 1 species
UCCUGGUUAACCCAGGCAGUCUCGCCAGAGUCCCCAGCCAAACUGUUGGCAACUGACGAUAAGGGUUGCGCUCGUUGCGGGACUUAACCCAACACCUCACGGCACGAGCUGACGACAGCCAUGCAGCACCUGUGUAGCGGCCCUUUCGGGAAGCUCCAUCUCUGAAGCGGUCCGCUACAUGUCAAGCCUGGGUAAGGUUCUUCGCGUUGCAUCGAAUUAAACCACAUGCUCCACUGCUUGUGCGGGCCCCCGUCAAUUCUUUUGAGUUUCACCCUUGCGGGCGUACUCCCCAGGCGGCACACUUAACACGUUAGCUACGACACAGCCAGGGUUGAUUCCGGCUACAUCUAGUGUGCAUCGUUUACGGCGAGGACUAC